rnacentral:rRNA from 1 species
UACGUAGGGGGCAAGCGUUGUUCGGAUUCAUUGGGCGUAAAGGGUGCGUAGGUGGCGCUGUAAGUCGGGUGUGAAAUUUCGGAGCUUAACUCCGAAACUGCAUUCGAUACUGCGGUGCUUGAGGACUGGAGAGGAGACUGGAAUUCAUGGUGUAGCAGUGAAAUGCGUAGAGAUCAUGAGGAAGACCAGUGGCGAAGGCGGGUCUCUGGACAGUUCCUGACACUGAGGCACGAAGGCCAGGGGAGCAAACGGG